rnacentral:rRNA from 1 species
ACUCCUGCGGGAGGCAGCAGUGGGGAAUAUUGCACAAUGGGCGCAAGCCUGAUGCAGCCAUGCCGCGUGUAUGAAGAAGGCCUUCGGGUUGUAAAGUACUUUCAGCGGGGAGGAAGGCAAUACGGUUAAUAACCGUGUUGAUUGACGUUACCCGCAGAAGAAGCACCGGCUAACUCCGUGCCAGCAGCCGCGGUAAUACGGAGGGUGCAAGCGUUAAUCGGAAUUACUGGGCGUAAAGCGCACGCAGGCGGUCUGUCAAGUCGGAUGUGAAAUCCCCGGGCUCAACCUGGGAACUGCAUUCGAAACUGGCAGGCUUGAGUCUUGUAGAGGGGGGUAGAAUUCCAGGUGUAGCGGUGAAAUGCGUAGAGAUCUGGAGGAAUACCGGUGGCGAAGGCGGCCCCCUGGACAAAGACUGACGCUCAGGUGCGAAAGCGUGGGGAGCAAACAGGAUUAGAUACCCCUGUAGUCCCAU